AAAAAAAAAGUCUGAUCUUUCACUUCCAGCUCUUUUAUCUUUCCAUGCGCACUCGAUUCUCACAACUCUGGAAUUUUUCUCCGACCUCCGCAACUCCUUUGCCGGCGGCUAUCUGACCGGAGAUCUUCCACCCGGAUUUUUUGUAACAAAUUGGUCUGAAUUGCAAAUCGAACUGAAAAGCAAGCGUUCGUCUGGGUAUUGUAAUCUCAAGCAGAUGUUUGGCUUAUGACAAAAUGUUGACCAUCGAGGAUUCGAUUCAGGUUUAAUUGUUGAAGGAGAUGCAGGAAUUAGGAAGAAGACAUCCAAUUAGUCCAAUUCCCUUUGAAGUUUUUUAUGAUGGUUCAUGGCAUGCAAUAGACCUUGUGAGAAUUAGAAAGGGGAAAACCUAUAUACUGUUCAGCAGCCAGAGUUCAGAGGUAGAGGAUGAAAUAUGUUUUGACAAUGUCCGUCUACGAUCAAGAAAAGCAAAUGAUUAUGAUUGUUCACACCUUCUAAAAGUUGGUGUUGAUGUUUGUGUCCUUUCAACUGGUCCAAUUUCGGAAGUAUCAGAUGAAGGACUACGACCAAAUUUGCCAUUGUGGUAUGAUGCAAAAAUCAUAUCAAAAAAGAACAUCCAUCAUGGAAGUCGAUGUUCUUGCCUUUUUUCUGUCAUACUCUAUAGAGAAAGAGCUUUGAAUGGUACUGGAAAGAACAUAAUGUUUGAAAGAGCUGAGAUGGUCACAAUCGACAGGAUUGCAAUACUUCAAAAGCUUAGUGAUGAACCUUGUGAAGAUGAAUUCAACCUGUGGAGCUACUCGGAGGACUGCAUUUCCUCAAGUAGAAGCAGACUUGUUAGCGGAAUUGUUUCUUCUGAAAUUUCAUGGCUAGUUGUCCUGUCCAUACAAAAAGGAAUCAGUUUUCAUAUGAAAUCAUUACAAAGUAAUAUAGUAUACCAAAUCCUGAACAGAAAGCAGGAGUCUGUUAACGAUAAUAUGUCACGUCUUAACCCUGUCAAGGAUAUAAAGAUCAUGUGUUUCCAUAGGUUUAAUGAAAAUUUGAGGCCGGUGGUCAAAAUAGUUGACCCAUUUUUUAUUAAAGAAAUGGCAGUAGAAACACCUUUGCAACUGGAUAUCCAACCAGAUCUGAACAGAUCUAUAGAGGGGGAUAGUGAGACAGAUGUUGAGGUUUUGUAUGAUUGCAUGAGUCUGAGACGAUCCAAGCGCCGCAAGGUUAAGCCCAAACGUUUUACAAGCUACUCUUCCCCUGAUUUUGACCGUAUAUCGAGGAAUACAGGGCAGAUUAUAGAGAUAUUGGAUCAAAAUUCUGAUGAACUAUCAGAUUCAUCAGAAGUGGGAGAACAGUUAUUGGAUAACUGGGAGCUUUGUGUUGUCCCAAGAAGUUCCGACGAGGAAUAUGAAUUAUCACCAACUGCAGACAGAAGGAAGACAUUUGAUUGGAAAGUGAAAGAAGUUCAACCACAACUUCUACUUACAAUGGGUGAAGACAUCUGUGACGUCCAUCCUGAUAAUUCACCAGAUAGGGUAACACAGCAUGGUUUAGAAAAAACAGUACUGAGACACAGAGGGAGGCCGAGAAAAAGUGAUAGGAGUAUUCCAUCUUCACGUAACGGUAAUCCUCUUUGUAAGAAGAGGUUUUCUUACAGAAAGAAGCUCCUUCUCAGUGCAGCAGAGUGUGACCAACUGAUAAAGCAAUGCAUGGGAAAUAUUGAGGAUGAAAUGGAAACUGAAGUUGAGCCAGACUCUCAAUCAGCAAAAACAUUUGCUUAUGAAGAAGAACACUUUAAAUGGUCUCCAUCUCCUGUGGAUCAAUUUGAAAUUGAUGAGCACGAAGACCUCUGGAAAGAAAUGGAGCAUACACUAACGGCACUUGCUCUUCUUGAACAGCAGGAGAUGGACUCUGAAGCUUUUGAUAAUGGGACAGUUCCUUUAUCAAAUGAAGAUGGUGAUCAAGCAUGCAAACAUGAUUUCAAGCUAGAUGAGCAAAUUGGAAUAAUAUGCCAGCUGUGCAAUUAUGUGCACACUAAAAUAAGAGAUGUUAUGCCACAAUUUGUGAUUAGUGAAAGCUGGAAUACAGGCAGGGAGCACUUGGGUAAAGUGGGAUUCAGUAUGCUAGGGACUUAUUGUUUGGAUCCAUGUUCUUUUGGUGAUGCUAUUACACAAUUGGAUCUGGCUUCAUUAGGAGGAGAUGAAAAUGUCUGGGCUUUGAUACCUGAGCUUAAAUUAAGAUUAUAUACUCAUCAGAAAAAGGCUUUUGAAUUUAUAUGGAGGAAUAUUGCUGGGUCUUUGAAACCUAAAGAGAUGGAUAUUCAUUCCAAUGAGACAGGGGGUUGUGUUAUUUCACACUCUCCAGGCUCCGGGAAAACUUUGCUCUUGAUCUCCUUUAUUAUCAGCUAUUUGAGACUUUUUCCAAGGAGUCGACCACUGAUACUUGCCCCCAAGAUUGCAGUCUAUGUCUGGCAAAAGGAGUUUGAGAAGUGGGGUGUUCAGUUUCCUUUACAUAUAAUACAUCCAGCUCAAAGCUUCCAGAAAGAAAAUUUGGAUUGGAAAAUAAGAAUCUCUUCUAUGGAACAUAGAAAGCCAAACAGGAAAAUGAGGCAUCUAGUAGACUGUAUGUCAAAGUUUCAGCAGUGGCAUAAAGAAUCAAGCGUGCUUUUGAUGAGUUACUCUUCUUUUUCCUUGAUGCAGAAGGAGUCAAAAGAUGAGCACAAAAAAUUCAUGGCAAAGGUAUUGCAGAACAGUCCUGGGCUCUUGAUUUUAGAUGAAGGACACAAUCCCAGAAGUACUAUUUCCAAGCUAAGAAAACAAUUGAUGGAAGUGAACACCAAAUCCAGGAUUCUUUUGUCCGGCACACUGUUUCAGAACAACUUCGAGGAAUAUUUCAAUACCCUUUGUUUGGCCCGACCUAGCUUUGUAGAUGAUGUCCUCGGGGAGUUGGACCGAGAAAAAUUAAACACUUACAAGAAAUCUGAUAAAAGAAGUAAAAGAAAGGAAAGAAUGGCAAGAAAACUUUUUGUACAAAGAAUUGGUGAAAAAAUUGAAUCUAACAUGGAAGAUGUCAGGAAGCUAGGUUUUGAUGCACUAAACAAAAUCACAAAUGGAUUUAUUGAUAUUUAUGAAGACGACAAUUCAGGAAGGCUUCCAGGUUUGGUUAUUUAUACUAUAGUAUUACUGCCAACGGAUAUCCAGCAUGAAGUUUUAGUGCGCUUGCAGAGCUGCCUAAAACUUACAAGAAGGUAUCCCAUUGAAUUGGAAUUGCUCAUCACGGUUGGUUCUAUCCACCCAUGGUUGAUCAAGACCAUGGCUCAUGCUGAGGAUUAUUUCAACGACGCUGAGCUAGAGAAAAUCGAGAAGUACAAGGAUAGUAUCACAAGUGGUUCCAAGGUGAAGUUUGUCUUUGACAUAGUUCAUAAAUCCAUCAUCAAGGGGGAGAAGGUUCUGAUCUUUUCCCACAACAUUCCUCCUAUAAGUUUGCUUGUCAGAUUCUUUGAGACUUUUUUGGGUUGGCGUAAGGGCGAGGAAGUCUUAAUUCUUCAAGGUGAUCAAGAGCUUUCCUUGAGAGCAAAAAUCAUGGACGCCUUUAAUGGAGAUGUUGGAAAUAAGUGCAAGGUGUUAAUUGCAUCAACAUCUGCAUGCGCUGAAGGUAUUAGCCUGACAGCAGCAUCAAGAGUGGUUUUAUUGGACUCAGAGUGGAACCAUUCAAAAACAAGGCAAGCAAUUGCUCGAGCAUUUCGGCCAGGUCAGGAGAAAAAGGUUUACGUCUACAAGUUAUUGGCAUCAGGAACAUGGGAGGAGGAUAAAUACCGCAGCAAUGAUUGGAAGGCUUGGUUGUCGAAAAUGAUCUCUGUGGGUAAAUACAUUGAGCAUAAUUCUUGUAGGAAAGUUGACAUUGUCGAUGAUGAGAUUUUGACAGAGCUCCAGGAAGAAGAUCAGGGAAAGAUGUUCCAGAUGAUAAUGGAGCAGAACUGAGUUCCGAAUAUUUUCCAGUAUCAUGGAAGCCAGUUUAAUGGUGAACUUUCCAUUUGGAAUAACUCAAAGCAGUUCCUCUGAUAUAACUCAUCGGUUUAAGUGAGACACGAAUUGACGACUUGGCACACUAUGAGUAGAACUCUGAUUCAAGUUAGGAAAACAAAAUUAGAUCUUACUUGCCUGACAGCUGUGUUAAGUUAAUCUCUCUUUCUCUCAAUACGUGGGGUAAUAUCAGACAAGAUGUGGUUUACGUAAAGCAACUGGGAAGUAGAAUUCUGGAAAUGUUGUUAUGCUGUUUGCAAUCUUCAGGGUUUAGAGUGAUGGAGACAGGGUGCAAAGGCAAUUCGGCCAAAGAACUGUAAUCAAGGCUUGUAUUAUACAAUAACUUACUUUAGAUGCAGUAUACGGGCUUCUUUUUCUUGUUUAUUCUACUGAUAAGUUCCAUCUACUUACCUUGACACUAAUUACCAAAUUGUAACGUGUACUUAUGUUGCCAAGUUUUGCAGAGAUUAAGUUGGCUGCAUCUGUAUGAAUGAAUACAAAUUUUGUUGGCUGGUUUCAAAUAUUUUAUCCAAUGUUCUUACUGUAAGUUUGUAAACCUAUAUGUUGUUCAUAAGAUGAUCUUCUAUCUUA